rnacentral:rRNA from 1 species
AUUGAACGCUGGCGGCAUGCCUUACACAUGCAAGUCGAACGGCAGCACGGGAGCAAUCCUGGUGGCGAGUGGCGAACGGGUGAGUAAUAUAUCGGAACGUGCCCAGUCGUGGGGGAUAACGCAGCGAAAGCUGUGCUAAUACCGCAUACGAUCUACGGAUGAAAGCGGGGGAUCGCAAGACCUCGCCCGAUUGGAGCGGCCGAUAUCAGAAUAGCUAGUUGGUGGGGUAAAAGCCCACCAAGGCGACGAUCUGUAGCUGGUCUGAGAGGACGACCAGCCACACUGGAACUGAGACACGGUCCAGACUCCUACGGGAGGCAGCAGUGGGGAAUUUUGGACAAUGGGCGCAAGCCUGAUCCAGCAAUGCCGCGUGCAGGAUGAAGGCCUUCGGGUUGUAAACUGCUUUUGUACGGAACGAAACGGCUCUUUCUAAUAAAGAGGGCUAAUGACGGUACCGUAAGAAUAAGCACCGACUAACUACGUGCCAGCAGCCGCAGUAACAC